AAUAAAUGCCCGCUACUGUUACCCUGGCUUCCUACUGGGGGUCAGAACUCUUGUGGUUAUUCUGCCUUCCAUCCCAGUGAUACAGACUUCUGUGCUUCUUAUUCUUGUAAAGCGUUCUCUAGGUUUGGGAACCAAUAUUUAUAUAGAUCGAUAGAGAGACAGGGAUUAUGCAAGUUUAUUUGGGAGACAAAGACUGAAAGAGAAAGUCUCAGAGAAUAAAGGCACAGUGAGAGGGGGAAAAAAAGCAAAGACAUGAAAUAAGCAAGGGUAGUUGCUUUCAUUUCUAAAGAUGUUAUUUGGUUGGUAAAAACAGGAUAAAACAGAGUAAGUUAAUAAAGUUCAUUUUAUUUAAAUAUAUCUUUAAAGGCAUAGCAGUGAUCAGUGAAGAAGAAAGCCCAGGUAUGGGAAAACUGCUACUCCAACCAAGAAAGUAACACACAGGCAAGGCACAUCUAAGUUAGUAAAAGGUCAGUUGCACCAGUCCUCACAUAAGAGAAUACUCAAGAGAAAAGGAAAUUCAGAUCCUAAGGGUUAAACUCCAAAGGUGGACAACUGCUUGCAUUUACUGACAAGCUGACUAUGAAUUCCAGAGAUGCAUACAGAUGAUGAAUGAAGCCUCGUGUGGUGACCUGCCGGUGUUCUCCGAGGACUAAAUGCUGAGCCUCAGAAACUAGAGCAGCCAUCCUUUUGUCAACAGAUCUCCAAGGGCCUCAGGACAGGGGAUAAGAGAUAUUCAUCUCUGCCCAAUUUUACUGGAUUUCAGCCCUUUAUGUUGCUGCCAAGAUGAGUCUUCUGAGUCCUGACCUUUUCCCCCUGGACAACUUUACCAUUUUGUAUAUCUCAAUAAACAGUUUGGUUCUUACCUGGGAAUAGCUGUCCUAGAUAAGCAAAAUUAUCA